rnacentral:tRNA from 1 species
AGGCGCCUUAAGGGACCACCUUGACAUGGUGGGGGUCGUUGGUUCGAGUCCAAUCGCGCCUACCA